UCUGGAUGCUAGGGACAGGAGGCCCGAGCUGAAUACAACACAGUCUCUGCUGUUAAGGAGCUAGCAGUCCUUAGAGAGAAUGAUGAGUAAUGAGAGAUUACAAAUCCAGUAACAAUCCCUUCAGGACAGCAUGAUGCCCAUGCAGUGCCUUUGUGCAAAUCAGGAAAAGGCACCCCCUCUGAGUGGACCCAGAGCUUGACAAGCAGGACUCUCGGAGUGAAGAGGUGUCUCCCAACCCCUGCCCCGGACAUGUGCAUUAAGAGACGUGAUCUUCAGGGGCAUUCCUCCGGAUAGGUAAGAAAGUCUCAGAUGAGCAUGUGUACAACUCUAGUCAACACACUGGGCAUGCUCACCUCCCAAGCAUAAAGAGGGCUUCAAGAAUGAAGCCCCGGACCUUCACUGUGAGUGUUACAGCUCUUAAGUUGGCGCAGACCCAAAGAGUGAGCAGCAGCAGGAUUUACUGUGAAGAGUGAAAGCACAAAGUUUCCACAGCGUGGAAAGGUACCUGAGCGGGUUGCCCUUGGGGGCUGGGGGUGACCAGCUUUUAUUCCCUUAUUUGUCCCCGCCCAUGUCCUGCUGAUUGGUCCAUUUUACAAACCUCUAGCUAGCCACAGAG
rnacentral:lncRNA from 1 species